rnacentral:rRNA from 1 species
UCGGGGAGGACGGUUAUCGGAAUUCUGGGCGUAAGCGCACGCAGGCGGUUUGUUAGUCAGAUGUGACAUCUCCGGGCUCAACCUGGGAACUGCAUCUGAUACUGGCAAGCUUGAGUCUCGUAGAGGGGGGUAGAAUUCCAGGUGUAGCGGUGAAAUGCGUAGAGAUCUGGAGGAAUACCGGUGGCGAAGGCGGCCCCCUGGACGAAGACUGACGCUCAGGUGCGAAAGCGUGGGGAGCAAACAGGAUUAGAUACCCUGGUAGUCCACGCCGUAAACGAUGUCGACUUGGAGGUUGUGCCCUUGAGGCGUGGCUUCCGGAGCUAACGCGUUAAGUCGACCGCCUGGGGAGUACGGCCGCAAGGUUAAAACUCAAAUGAAUUGACGGGGGCCCGCACAAGCGGUGGAGCAUGUGGUUUAAUUCGAUGCAACGCGAAGAACCUUACCUGGUCUUGACAUCCACGGAAGUUUACAGAGAUGAGAAUGUGCCUUCGGGAACCGUGAGACAGGUGCUGCAUGGCUGUCGUCAGCUCGUGUUGUGAAAUGUUGGGUUAAGUCCCGCA